rnacentral:rRNA from 1 species
AGAAUGAACGCUGGCGGCGUGCUUAACACAUGCAAGUCGAACGGAAUACAAGGAGCUUGCUCCGAACUAUUUAGUGGCGAACGGGUGAGUAUCACGUGAGCAACCUGCCCCGAAGACUGGGAUAACACCGGGAAACCGGGGCUAAUACCGGAUAUGACCUCUGAGGGCAUCCUCUGGAGGUGGAAAGGAUUCUGGCUAGGGAUGAGCCCGCGGCCUAUCAGCUAGUUGGUGGGGUAAUGGCCUACCAAGGCGACGACGGGUA